rnacentral:rRNA from 1 species
GGCGAUCAGAUACCGCCCUACUUCUGACCGUAAACGAUGCCAACUAGCGAUCCGCCAGUCGACUCAUCGCUCUGGUGGGGAGCUUCCCGGAAACGAAAGUCUUCCGGUUCCGGGGGAAGUAUGGUUGCAAAGCUGAAACUUAAAGGAAUUGACGGAAGGGCACCACCAGGAGUGGAGCCUGCGGCUUAAUUUGACUCAACACGGGGAAACUCACCCGGCCCGGACACCGUAAGGAUUGACAGAUUGAUAGCUUUUUCAUGAUUCGGUGGAUGGUGGUGCAUGGCCGUUCUUAGUUCGUGGAGCGAUUUAUCUGGUUUAUUCCGAUAACGAGCGAGACUCUGGCCUACUAAAUAGUUGACGCAUUGCCACUGUGCGCACAACUUCUUAGAGGGAUUUUCGGUGUUUUCAACCGCACGAAAUUGAGCAAUAACAGGUCUGUGAUGCCCUUAGAUGUCCGGGGCUGCACGCGCGCUACACUGGCAAACGCAACGUGCCUGUCCUGCCCCGAAAGGAGCGGGUAAACCCCUGAAAUUUUGCCGUGAUUGGGAUCGGACAUUGCAACUAUUGUCCGUGAACGAGGAAUUCCUUGUAGGGGCGAGUCAUCAACUCGUCCCGAAUACGUCCCUGCCCUUGUA